rnacentral:lncRNA from 1 species
UAAUCUCCAUUAAUAGGCAGUGAAGAACAAAAAACGGUCUCGUCACGGGACAUGUAACAGCUAAAGUAACACUAACAUUAAUGAAACAAAGCGAAAGUAAAAGUAAAAGAUUUUAAGAGAGGAGAAGCAGAGGAAAAUUAGUGGGCUCACCUAUAUAGUCCAUGGACUCAAGCUUUGAUCGCGUCUCAGCGGCGGAUAUGCCGUCGCCACAGUCGAGGAGAAGGACUCUAAGUCCCUUUGGAAAAUUUUCCCAUUUUGAUAUAUCGUUAGAGGUAAAGACCAUAGCUGGUUUUGCAUCGUUUUUGCGGCCAACACCGCCGCUUCUCUCCUCCGUCACUGUGGCUGCCGGUAGAUUCUACGGGGAACGAAAUCACUGUCUAUAUUUUGAUCAAAAACAAAACAAUAAAAAAGGGAAUAAGUGUGUUAGUGGAAUAAGCAUAGAAAAGUAAAAAGGUGUGUAUUAUUGAUGAGAUAAGAAUAAUUCAUGAGGAUCUUGAUUUUGUUAUAAUAAAGAGUGGACCACCACCAUGCCAUGAAAUCUAACAAAGCUUUGAAUCAUCUGAGAGUGUGAAUACAUAUUUUAAUAAUUAGUUAAAAAAAUUAUUACAUCUUAAUUGUUGUUAACUCGUGCAUGCAGUAUGUAUAUCUAAUGAUUAAACUGGUUUAACACAGAUUAAUGACAAACCAAAGAAGUAGAAAAGGCAAAAUCCCUCUAGAAUUUUUUUUAAAAUAAUAAUAAUAUUAUAAAUUAAGAGAAGAAGAGAAAUACACAGAGAGAAAAUCUAUGAUCAAAUCAAAAAGUUACACCUUUUGAAUAAACAAAUUUAAGGAAAUUUUCAGAAGAAGGAAAAAAUCUCAAAUCCAGUGUUCCCAGAGAAGAGAUGCUUUCAUCACAUGCAAUGAACAUAUACUUUAUCAAAAGAAAACACAAAGCUUGUAACUGAAUAAAAACAAACUUUUACAAUCCAGAAGUCAAAUUGAAAGAAAUAAAUUAAGGGUAAUUUCAUUUUUUUAAAAUGUCUCAUCAUACCUGAGAGUAUUUGUUGCAGAUCUGCUUAGACCCCUUCCUCAAGCUCUUUCUCCCUCUUUCUUUCUCUUUUGUCCUUGCUCACAUUCAAAAUUAAAUCCUUUGGGUAGAAAUGGUGACUUUUAGAGAGAGAAAAUGGAUGAAGAGUUAUGAUAAGUUGGUGACUAGUGUUGUUAUUGUCAUUGAGUUAUACAGAAGAUAUAAGGAAUCAAAAAGCCUCAGUAAGAUAAAGUUUUUUUUCUCACUAAGAUAAAGGUUAAUGAAUUGAAUUUAGAAAAGGGGAGAUUAAAAGUUAAUUUAUUUUUGACUUUUUAAGUAAUAUAUAUUAUAAGAUUAUUUUCCUAUCAACAUAAAAUAGAAAAGUUAGAAUUUUCAUAAUCUUAUCUAUUAAAAUAGAAAUUUAAAAAAAAAAAUCCAUGUGUGAUUUCUUAAAUUGAACUGUCCUAAAUAAAAUUUAAUGAAUUUGCUUUUGUAUUUAUAUAAUAAUAUCACAACAAUAAAGAAGAUUAAGAUUAAUAUCUCAACAAUAAUUACCAUUGAAAAUUACAUUAAUCUUAUUUUUUUAAUUAAUAACAAUCUUUGUACGGAAUUAUUUUAAAAUUUAAAUAAUAAUUCUAUCGAAAACAGAAAUAAUUUUCAUUAUGCGUUUAUAAAAGUUACUUUAGAAACAAGUUCAACAACAGAGAAGGCAGUGAAGAACAAAAAACGGUCUCGUCACGGGACAUGUAACAGCUAAAGUAACACUAACAUUAAUGAAACAAAGCGAAAGUAAAAGUAAGAGAUUUUAAGAGAGGAGAAGCAGAGGAAAAUUAGUGGGCUCACCUAUAUAGUCCAUGGACUCAAGCUUUGAUCGCGUCUCAGCGGCGGAUAUGCCGUCGCCACAGUCGAGGAGAAGGACUCUAAGUCCCUUUGGAAAAUUUUCCCAUUUUGAUAUAUCGUUAGAGGUAAAGACCAUAGCUGGUUUUGCAUCGUUUUUGCGGCCAACACCGCCGCUUCUCUCCUCCGUCACUGUGGUUGCCGGUAGAUUCUACGGGGAACGAAAUCACUGUCUAUAUUUUGAUCAAAAACAAUAUAAAAUGGAAUAAGUGUGUUAGUGGAAUAAGCAUAGAAAAGUAAAAAGGUGUGUAUUAUUGAUGAGAUAAGAAUAAUUCAUGAGGAUCUUGAUUUUGUUAUAAUAAAGAGUGGACCACCACCAUGCCAUGAAAUCUAACAAAGCUUUGAAUCAUCUGAGAGUGUG